rnacentral:rRNA from 1 species
CGCGUAGGCGGUUUGUUAAGUCGGAUGUGAAAGCCCCGGGCUCAACCUGGGAAUUGCAUUCGAUACUGGCCGACUAGAGUACGAGAGAGGGAGGUAGAAUUCCACGUGUAGCGGUGAAAUGCGUAGAUAUGUGGAGGAAUACCGGUGGCGAAGGCGGCCUCCUGGCUCGAUACUGACGCUGAGGUGCGAAAGCGUGGGUAGCAAACA